AGUCUACUCCCUCCGUUGCACAAUACAUGCCUUCUAUUUGUCAAAAUAUAUAUGUAUCUAGACAUGUUUUAGUAUAUAGGUACAUCCAUUUUUGGACAAAUGAAAGUCAAGUAUUUUGGAACGGAGGGAGUACACA
rfam:Triticum aestivum genome assembly, contig: Triticum_aestivum_CS42_TGACv1_scaffold_332145_4BS